GAUGAACGCUGGCGGCGUGCUUAACACAUUCAAGUCGAACGAAGUAGCAAUACUUAGUGGCGGACGGGUGAGUAACGCGUGAGCAACCUGCCUUUGUGAGGGGGAUAACGUUUGGAAACGAACGCUAAUACCGCAUAAUGCAUAGAAGUCACAUGGCUUUUAUGCCAAAGAUUUAUCGCACAAAGAUGGGCUCGCGUCUAAUUAGAUAGUUGGUGGGGUAACGGCCUACCAAGUCGACGAUUAGUAGCCGGACUGAGAGGUUGAACGGCCACAUUGGAACUGAGAUACGGUCCAG
rnacentral:rRNA from 1 species